AAGUCCAACAUCAAAAAGGCCAUCUGUGAGAAUGAGGCCUCAGCCAUGUCUGAAAUUUAUAGUGCUGAGAAGACAUCCAGUGAGGGCAACUGACUCUGCCUCUUCCAGAUGCCCCUGCUACAUAUGCCCCGACUCCCAGAAGGAGGUGUCACUCAAUAUGAGCACACACCACCGGACGGAGCUCCCUCACACUGUGACUUUCGUAGUCUUACCAGCUAAGAGAACAUGUUCCUCACUAGGACCCUGCUUUUUUGUUUGUUCGAUCACUUGUAUUUGUUGGACUCAUACCUCAUUAAACAGGGAUGACUGGGUUAGUCCAA